AGGAUCAUUACCUAGAGUUUGUGGGCUUUGCCUGCUAUCUCUUACCCAUGUCUUUUGAGUACUUACGUUUCCUCGGUGGGUUCGCCCGCCGAUUGGACAAUUUAAACCCUUUGCAGUUGCAAUCAGCGUCUGAAAAACAUAAUAGUUACAACUUUCAACAACGGAUCUCUUGGUUCUGGCAUCGAUGAAGAACGCAGCGAAAUGCGAUAAGUAGUGUGAAUUGCAGAAUUCAGUGAAUCAUCGAAUCUUUGAACGCACAUUGCGCCCCUUGGUAUUCCAUGGGGCAUGCCUGUUCGAGCGUCAUUUGUACCUUCAAGCAUUGCUUGGUGUUGGGUGUUUGUCUCGCCUUUGCGUGUAGACUCGCCUUAAAACAAUUGGCAGCCGGCGUAUUGAUUUCGGAGCGCAGUACAUCUCGCGCUUUGCACUCAUAACGACGACGUCCAAAAGUACAUUUUAACACUCUGACCUCG
rnacentral:rRNA from 1 species